UACGGAGGAUGCGAGCGUUAUCCGGAUUUAUUGGGUUCAAAGGGUGCGUAGGCGGGCUGUUAAGUCAGCGGUAAAAGCCCGGGGCUCAACCCCGGCGAGCCGUUGAAACUGGCUGUCUUGAGAUGUCGAGAGGUAUGCGGAAUGCGCAGUGUAGCGGUGAAAUGCUUAGAUAUUGCGCAGAACUCCGAUUGCGAAGGCAGCAUACCGGCGGCGAUCUGACGCUGAGGCACGAAAGCGUGAGUAUCGAACAGG
rnacentral:rRNA from 1 species